rnacentral:rRNA from 1 species
GUGAACGCUGGCGGUAGGCCUAACACAUGCAAGUCGAACGGCAGCACAGUAAGAGCUUGCUCUUACGGGUGGCGAGUGGCGGACGGGUGAGGAAUACAUCGGAAUCUACUUUUUCGUGGGGGAUAACGUAGGGAAACUUACGCUAAUACCGCAUACGACCUACGGGUGAAAGCAGGGGAUCUUCGGACCUUGCGCGAUUGAAUGAGCCGAUGUCGGAUUAGCUAGUCGGCGGGGUAAAGGCCCACCAAGGCGACGAUCCGUAGCUGGUCUGAGAGGAUGAUCAGCCACACUGGAACUGAGACACGGUCCAGACUCCUACGGGAGGCAGCAGUGGGGAAUAUUGGACAAUGGGCGCAAGCCUGAUCCAGCCAUACCGCGUGGGUGAAGAAGGCCUUCGGGUUGUAAAGCCCUUUUGUUGGGAAAGAAAAGCAGCAGGUUAAUACCCCGCUGUUCUGACGGUACCCAAAGAAUAAGCACCGGCUAACUUCGUG